rnacentral:lncRNA from 1 species
GAUAUUCUAUUCUUUAGCUCAUUAAUGGGACUUCUAAGAGCCUUGAGGCUAGGCACAGGUUGCCAUGAUACUUGUGAGCUAUUAUUCUGCAGUGUUGUUGUGAUGGUAGGAUGUUUGCCCACGUGUCAGGGAAGUUAAGGAAUGAAAGGGAAGUUUACUUAGCGUGUAAUCAAGGGAUUCAGUAUUUUAUUUUCGGCAAGGGAAAAGGCAAUCAGAUUAAGAAUGGUCAGAUGUGGGCUAGUGAAAGUUAUAAGACUUGGCAGUUGCAAGCGUGGUGGAGAUUUCUUCUAUGAUGGGGUGUUGCGGUCCUAAUGGAACAUACUAAGUUUGUCGAUAUUAUAGUCUUCUACAAUUCGCCUUUAUGACAAGAUGUGAUGAAAUAGUAUUGGAGAUUCAACUGUUAGAUAUUGCUUGGUGCAGUGGGUUAAAAUCAAAUUAGAAUUUCAAAUGUUGACGGAUCGAUAAAGAUAGCCUUUGGAAAGCUUCUAAACUUAGCAGCUAUGGUGGAUUCAAGUGCCACGAAGAUAUAUUUCACUUAAGACAACAUUUGAGCAGCAAACUAUGAGGAAGGACAUGUGGGAAGUGUCAGGCGGUGUUUACAAUUUCCAGAAGGCCAAGUAUGAGAAGCAAGGUCGAGUGACCAAUUAAAAAGAUGAGUUCCGCCAAAGUGGGAGAGUGGCGGGUGUUGCAUAUGGGCUUGGUAGUAUGAUGACUACACGCCUUAUGGAGAGUAUGGAUCGAAUUGGGGAUUUUAGUGAUUUGUGAUUGAAUCCUGCGGGUAUGAUGUGAAGUAUGGGCUAUUAUGCGGUAGAAGAUUGAUCUGGGGGAAAGGAGUUGCUUGAAAUAGAGGAGGGUGCAGCAUAACCGUGAAUUGGAUGGGUGUUGCGGCAUAUUUAAUUGAUGGCCGCGAGGGGUGAAUGGACUUGUACAACUGGAAUGUGAGCUCUGACUCAGGAUGGGCUAUUGGUUCCAUAUUGAAUGUACACGUGCAGCGGCACGGGAAGAUGUCGGGAGGUGAUUUCCUCAAGUCGGUUAUUUCCCAUGAGCAGGUUAGCGGUUGCGUGGUUGGAGAAGCUUCUGCAAAGAAUUAUAUUUGUUGUUCAACAAGGAGAUCGGACGUGUGAAUGUGGAUGAUGAUUCAGAAUAUAGAAGAUGGGGAUUUGCAGGAAGAUUUCGAGAUAUUUUGAUAAUUUAUGUCGCGAGGUUAUGCCAAUAAGAGGUAAAAAGGUCGGCCGAACUCAGGAAUUGUGAAAUGAUACCUUCAAGCUUAGUGGGAGAGUCCCACCACUUAUGAUUGGGCUGUAUGGUUAAUUACUUGCGUGAUUUCUGGUCAUUUGCAUAUUGAUUGAUUAUUUCAAAUAUGAGAAAAGACCAUAAGUGGUAAUUCGAGCAAAGGAAUUGUAGGAGGCAUGCUAUGGUUGGACUUAUUGGCUCAUGUUCGGACUUGGAAAAAGAUUGAAGAUUUAUGCCUCGUAUAGAUGCAGGUAUCAGAAGAAGUGAUUCCGCCGGAUGCUUCGUCAAAAGGGUAUUCAUGUGUUGUGAGAUUGGUGGAGCUGAUUGCAUUCAGGACCAAGUCAGAGCGGGUGGCUCUCAAUAG